ACAUACGACCAUACCUAUCAGAGAACUCGGGAUCCCGUCCGCUCUCCCAUAGAUAAGCUGGUAAGGGGGCGGAUUAGUAGUUGGGUCGGUGACGACCAGCGAAUCCCCGCUGUUGUAUGUU
rfam:Fusarium oxysporum f. sp. lycopersici 4287 chromosome 4, whole genome shotgun sequence.